CCCAGACAGUGUCUCUGAGGGCUUGAAUCCAAAUAGCUGUGGACACGGCCUAACUAAUAAAACAGAACAACCCACCCAGCACAAAGGCACUAAAGACGUGGUGACAGGCCUCUGAGGUGCAGAGGGCUGCAGUGGAGGAACUGAUGCAGGGGUGAAAGGGCUUGAGUUUUACUAGGGUAAACAACAUGUCUAACACCACAGGAGUACGUACAGUGGAUCCAGCUCCUCUAUACCAACACCACUAGCAUUGUCCAAUGCCUCGUCGACCUGUCCGAAUUGUUCCCGAUCACCUUCAGCGUGCACCAGGGAUCCGUCCUCUCUCCACUCCUGUUCAUCCUUUGCAUGGACACAACCACGGUGGAUAUUCAGGUGCUUCAGCCCUGGUCACUUCUAUUCGAUACCUUCCAAGCUGACAAAACCUGUUGUGUUGAUAAAAUAGAUAUGUUUUACUGUGAGAUCUGUUGGAAAUUUCAAGUCCAUAAACAGAGAAAAGAAUGUCCUACUACUGUGGCAGCAGAUACAGUACUUACUUACUCAAUUGACAUGUUUUUCAGAUAUAUCCCUUGCUUUCUUCUUAAUGUCAGUGGGCCAUGAUGGCCCAAAUGUUCAUAUUCUUCUGUGCACAUGAGCAGUGCCAAAGAAAAAAAACUUAGCCGGUUUCGUGUAAUUUUAUGUUUAAACCACAGAUGGCAAUAGAGAGGUCAAAGUUCCAUGAUCCAAUUUAAGAAAAUAAAUAACAUGCAAAUAUGGGAGAACGGAAACACG